CAAGUAGUGUAGUCAGGGACAAGCAGAAUUGUUAAUGGCGGUUAAUCUCACAUGGUUCUCUCCAAUGUGUCAUCACUGACCUUUAAAUUCCUGACUGUCCUCCCAAGACAGUGAGCGAGGGUGUCCGUAUGGUGGGAGCUGCCUUGAAGCCAUGGAUCUCUGGAGCUGAAAUGAGACCAGAGCAGCGAGGAGGUCAGUCAAGAUCGACUCCAG